AAAAUUCUUUUAAAUAAAAAAUAUUAAGAAACAAGUUAAAUAAAAUUGAAUGAAACGUGUGUGGUGGGGGUGGUUCUGGUUUCCGACCGCGGCCACGUGACCUUGGCAACAUCACCAGCCCCUCCCCGAGUCUCAGUUUCCUCAUCUGUAAGAUGGGGUUGGCAGGAGCCGCUGCCUGCUAGCAUCGCAGGAAGGAGUAAACGGGUUUGUCUGUGACAACAUCCCGGCGCAUAAUAAGUGCGCAAAGAGCUGUGUGGUUACAGGGUGCCUGCUGUCUGCACGCUCAUUUAUACAUCUGAGGCACAGAUGAAUUGGGAAAGCUUUCAAGUCUUUUCUUGAACGUGUCUUAGGGGACAAAGCAUAGCGAGCCUCCCCUCCCCCACCACGACAUGUGAGUUUACAGAUGUUCGUACCGAAAAUGACCCCGAGUUUUAAAAUAAAGACGAGUUUGUUACAAUUUGUUACUGAGAUGAAACUCACCAUUCCAAAGCGUACAUACAGUUCAGUGGCUUUCACUAUAGUCACAAGGUUGUGCAACCAUCACCGCGAUCCAAUUCCAGAAAUAAAAAAGGGAGGUGGGGGGUAAUCUUAAAGCCUGUUUGAAGAAAAAUACUAAACGACUCGAGAAAUAGAAAAGACCUUCAGGAAGAGGGCAGAUGGCCAGCAAAGAACCUGCGGGACAGGAGACAGGUGAGCAAGGGGGAUGGGCGGGCUGAUGCCAGAGCACGUCAGAUCCCACGUGACAAAGGGGCUCCGACACAGCGACCCGCAAGGGAUGGGGCGGGCAGGUGGCGCCAGGCCGGCCUGCCAACCUCCAGUGCCCAGGUCCCCGCAGAGGAGGGGCGUGGGGUUCGCAGGGCGGGGACAGGCAGAGAGCCCGAUAAGAGGUCUGAGGGCCCCCCCCCCCGGGGAGCGUCAGGGAAGACAGGAGAUGGGGCCAGCCCCCCACCCCCCACCCCCAGAGGAGGAAUGCUCUUCGGUUCCAGACAGGGGAGAACCCGGAAUCACUGUCCCACGGCGACCCCUGGUGGCGCAGAACGCUCACUGCAGCGCUUUCUGGAUUUCACCCUCCCCCCGCCCCCCCAUAAACGCAGGAUCCUGUUCUGCGGGGGGAAGGGGGCGCCACAUACAGGACACAGGUUCUGUACUCAGGUCGACCACACUGGCUCCUCCCCAUCCUUCGGAGUCUUUGCACGGACUGCACCCUCCGCCUGCAGUAGACUUUCCUUCUUGGAAUGCCUCCUCCAGGAAGCCUCCCAUGACCGCCCCCAACCCCAAAGCCCCCACAGUGGCCUCUGCGUCCCCCGUCACACCCAGGACCACCCCGGCUGCAACCACCUAGUGGCGCGUCUGUCUUCCCCACAGAGCUGUGAGCCCCGUGGGGAACAUGGAACAAAGAGAUUGGUCGAAAGAGAGAAAGGUUGGCACAUUCGUUCAAAUUCACGUAUUGAGCCUCUGCUGUGUGCCAGCUACUGGGGUCCAGCAGGGAACUCACCAGAUGAAAUUCCCAUCCCCAUGGGGAAGGCAGAUGAUAAACCAGGUGUUCAAUGAA